CACAAGCGGAGGAGCAUGUGGUUUAACUCGAUGAUACGCGAGGAACCUUACCUGGGCUCGAACGUAAGAUGACUGUAGGUGAAAGCUUACAUCUCUUCGGAGCAUUUUACGAGGUGCUGCAUGGUUGUCGUCAGCUCGUGCCGUGAGGUGUCGGGUUAAGUCCCAUAACGAGCGCAACCCCUACCUUUAGUUGCCAUCAGGUUAAGCUGGGGACUCUAAAGGAACUGCCUACGCAAGUAGUGAGGAAGGCGGGGAUGACGUCAAAUCAGCACGGCCCUUACGUCCAGGGCUACACACGUGCUACAAUGGCCGAUACAGAGGGCAGCUACCUGGUGACAGGAUACAAAUCUCCAAAGUCGGUCUCAGUUCGGAUCGGAGUCUGCAACCCGACUCCGUGAAGUUGGAUUCGCUAGUAAUCGCGCAUCAGCCAUGGCGCGGUGGAUACGUUCCCGGGCCUU
rnacentral:rRNA from 1 species